AUGGGUUCUUGCCGCCCCACCUUCUUCGUCCUUUUCCUCUUCGUCUUCCAAGUUGCAAGAGCUGUGGAUCCCUCCACGAAUCUCAGCUGUAAUUUGACGAGCUCUGUGGAUCUUAAGACAGGACUUCCCAAAGGGGCCAAUUUCACAGUCCUCACUUUGCAUUCCCUCUCGAGGAAGAAGGUCGUGGCUCUCUUGCAGGCCAACACGCCUCUCCAGAUCUUGGACCUCCAUUACUCCAAAAGAGUCACCUUCGUGAAAGAGACUGGCGCCUUCCGCAUCCAUAACCUGAGCCUGGCGGACGGGGGGACCUACGACAUUUAUAGGCAGACCUCGGACAGUUCCACCGAAACAUUGAAGACAUACACACUGUUUGUGUUUGACAUCAACAUCACGGCAACCUCGCUGGCGAACCGUUCUUGCAGCCUGGAUUUGCUCUGUCAGGCGGGCGUGGGGACGAGAGCGAGCAGAGAGAGGUACACCUGGAAGAAGACGGCCUCGGGGGAGACCUUGUCCCAGGAACCCCGGCUCCGCCUCGUCAUGCACCCCGAGAACAGCCGAGACUCUUACACGUGCACCGCCCAGGAUGGCGUCUCUCAGGGCGCGUGGGACGUCAUUCCCUACCCGCAGUGCAGUCACUCUGGGGCUACAGGGCAUUUGCUGUCUGGCCUGCCAAGGUUGUCCUGCCUUCUCAGUGCUGGGCUGGUUGCCCUCGUGGUGCUGCUGUGAUGCCAGCUGCCGACAGGUGUGGAGAUGAUGAACCCGCCCACCCUCCCACCCCACCCGGCUUCGGAGCGCCCGCUUGAAGGCUUCUGCUUUGUCUUCCUGUUGCGGUUGGUGAAAGUUGCUCCCCCCCCCUUCGUUCCCUUGCUGUGAAGCAAAUGAGAGAGCUCUCCGAUGAAUGGGAUGCUGGGCGGGGCCCGACCGCUGAACUUGCACAAUCACGCACACGCACCCUCGGAGCCCCUGGUGUGGUGGUGGCACAACAGUCAAGCGCGCACGUGACUUCUGAGAGAUUGCACCCGUCAUGGCGUCCCUUUGCACUCUGGACCACUUGCCACUUUUCUCUGGUUCUGGACGAAUCCUUGCCCCGGUUUGGCCUCCCCCAUGUUCAUUUGGGUUGUGGGGAGAGGGAGGGCUGGCGCUGUCCUUGUUUUGGGUCCGGCCCCCUUCCUGAGCUCAGUCUCAUGGGACGCUCCUUUCUGCACAGAGGCCGGGCUCUCCUGGCAAGGAAGGGCCCUUUGGCCCCGAAACCUGGACGUGCCGGGCCGAGCCGGCCGACGGGAACUCCCCCUGGGCCCCAGGGUCUGGCCUCAUGGUGGGCGGCCGGAACGGGGGGUUGCAUCCUGUCUCAGGGUGCCGUCAAACCUCACUGCGCUCACUCUCUGCUGGCACACACACACACACACACACACACACCGAAGCCCCCUGCCUUGUGUUGUAACUGCUGGGCCUGUGUCCUGAAUGCUGUAUAUACACUUCUGCUGGAGGAGGCUCUGUUUCCAGUGUUUCUUUAACCCAAAGACUCAAUUUCCCCCUUUUGGCUUUUGAACUGGGGCAGUGUGUGUGUGUGGGGGGGGCGGUUGCACAGGGAGCCGAGACCUCCAGGAGGAGGUGGAAGUGGGUGGUGGGUGGUGGGAGGGAGUCCUGAAGAGACCCUUGGCGUCAACACCGGGGUGCUUUCCGCCUGUCCCUAGUUUCUCCAGUGGAAGGUUGGGGGUGUGUCUUU
ensembl:lncRNA T-lymphocyte surface antigen Ly-9-like